rnacentral:rRNA from 1 species
GAUGAACGCUGGCGGCGUGCCUAAUACAUGCAAGUCGAGCGAACGGACGAGAAGCUUGCUUUUCUGAUGUUAGCGGCGGACGGGUGAGUAACACGUGGAUAACCUACCUAUAAGACUGGGAUAACUUCGGGAAACCGGAGCUAAUACCGGAUAAUAUUUUGAACCGCAUGGUUCAAAAGUGAAAGACGGCCUUGCUGUCACUUAUAGAUGGAUCCGCGCUGCAUUAGCUAGUUGGUAAGGUAACGGCUUACCAAGGCAACGAUGCAUAGCCGACCUGAGAGGGUGAUCGGCCACACUGGAACUGAGACACGGUCCAGACUCCUACGGGAGGCAGCAGUAGGGAAUCUUCCGCAAUGGGCGAAAGCCUGACGGAGCAACGCCGCGUGAGUGAUGAAGGUCUUCGGAUCGUAAAACUCUGCUAUUAGGGAAGAACAGAUGCGUAAGUAACUGUGCACAUCUUGACGGUACCUAAUCAGAAAGCCACGGCUAACUACGUG